rnacentral:snRNA from 1 species
AAUCGGACGUCUUCGGCGU